rnacentral:ncRNA from 1 species
UUCAGCUUCUAGCUGAAUCUUUUAUGAUAACAUAAAUUGAACAGGCUAAUUUGCGCAAGAGAGUACAAAUUGAGUGCGCGGUUUGGCACCUCGAUGUCGGCUUAGCUCAUCCUCAUGCAUGCAGAAAUCAUGAAGGGUUCGACUGUUCGUCGAUUAAAGAGCUACAUGAGCUGGGUUUAAUACGUCGUGAGACAGUAUGGUUUCUAUCUUCUAGAGGAACAUAAAGUAGAUUAAAGAUAGCCCCUUCGUACGAAAGGAGUUGGGUAUAUUGAUCUCUGGUUUACCUGUUGUUUAUGAUUUAUAUUAUAACAUAUGUUAUAAUGAUAAUUAAUACUUAUACUAAGGUAUUGUUACACUAUUAAUAGUGUAACCAGACAACAUAGGCAUGGCAGGAAAGCUACAUCAGUUAAAGAUAAGUGUUGAAAGCAUCUAAACGCGAAGCAAACUUUAUGAUACUUUUAUACGUAGUAGAACACUACGAGCAUAAUUGUUUAACUACAAUUAAUAGGCUUUAGUUGUAAGAAUGAUAACAUUUUUAGAUAUAAAGUACUAAUUUUUAAA